rnacentral:tRNA from 1 species
UUAAUUAAAACCAAAUCCGAGGUGUAUCAUUGUUAAUGAUAAUAUUGACCCUAAAGUCUAAUUAAA